rnacentral:pre_miRNA from 1 species
UCCUCGUCCUCAUCGUGGUCGUCGACAUCAAAGGGCACCCAGAAACCUUAUAACUCGGUUUCAAGGGUGCCCUUUGGUUACGACGACGAGGAUGAAGACGAGGA